rnacentral:rRNA from 1 species
UACGUAGGGUGCGAGCGUUAAUCGGAAUUACUGGGCGUAAAGCGUGCGCAGGCGGUUCGCCAAGUCAGGGGUGAAGUCCCCGGGCUUAACCUGGGAAUUGCGCUUGAAACUAGCGGGCUUGAGUGUGGCAGAGGGGGGUGGAAUUCCACGUGUAGCAGUGAAAUGCGUAGAGAUGUGGAGGAACACCGAUGGCGAAGGCAGCCCCCUGGGUCAACACUGACGCUCAUGCACGAAAGCGUGGGGAGCAAACAGG